UAAAUGUGUGUUGGUUUAAUGGUAGAGGGGUCACAAGGAUUCCAACCCAAGGCGGUUUAUAAUGCAGGAGCAGGAGCAGGAGCUUUCCAUCCCUUUCCCUCAGCCCCAGUUAAGAAAAACAUAUGACUGCUUUUUGGCUUUUGGCUCAGAGGAGGCCAAGGUGCGACUUUCUUCAGUCGUCCCGAAUCCGGGUUCAUCUGACACCAGUUGCCUCCAUUAUGCUGCUGAAAUUCAACCCCAAUGAGAACAAAGUCAUAUACCUGAGGUGCAUUGGAGGGGAAGUCGGUGCCACAUCUGCCUUGGCCCCCAAGAUUGGACCCUGGGUCUAUCUCCAAAAAAGGUGGGUGGUGACAUCGCUAAAGCAACCAGUGAUUAGAAGGGUCUGAGGAUAACAGUCAAAGUGAGCAUUCAGAACAGACAGGCCCAGAUUGAGGUGGCACCUUCUGCCUCUGCCCUGAUCAUCAAAGCCCUCAAAGAACCGCCAAGAGACAGAAAGAAGCAAAA